UGCUGGGAAUGUAUGGCCGUUGCCAUGGCAACGGAUGUGCCUGUGACCAGGUGGCAUCAUUGCUGGAGAUGAAAGCAGUUCCUGAUACCAACAAAGCCAGAUUAGGUUAUAUCAAAAGCAGGCUGAUUGGGAAGCUGCACUCAGGCAGGUUCACUGGUCCCAAGGAUUGAGGCCAGGGAAGUUGCCAUGGGAAAGGGGGUUAUAGGGGAGGGAGGGAGGAAAGAAGAGGAGGAGGAUGAAGAGGAGGAGGAGCAGCAGCAGGAGGAGGAGGAGGAGGAAGAGAAGGAGAAGAGAGAGAAGAAGAUAGACAAAAUGUUUGCAUUAUAUAGGGAAGACUCUCUCAAGGAAGGGGUGCCCAGCUCCUGGGCUGGAAAGUUCCUGGAUGGGGCAGGGUAUUCCAGGAAGUGACUGAGGGAUGCUGGGAGAACCUGGAGGCAUGGCUGCUUUGAUAGCCUCAUCUUCAGACUUCUGGCUCAGGGUAUGAGAGACUUUUCCGCGAAGCAGGAGUUAGGAAGCACUUGCCUACCACAUCCUUGCAAAGCUCCGCAGACACUUUCUUCCAUGGGCUGCUUGUCCGCAGACUGGACAGCGUGCUGUCAGCAGUUUAGACAAAGACAGCUUCUCGCCCAGUGGCUUGCGUGCCACAUUUGAAGCGAUUCCAUAUGGAGUUCUCGACGCUCAUCACCUUCUUUGAAGAAUGGGGGUGCUGCCAGGAACAGUCGCGUCUCACUGUCAUGAAGGCCUUUUAUUAAUAAAAUAUCGUUAAAAUGCUA